rnacentral:lncRNA from 1 species
CAUGGCAUGGGAGUCAAGGAAAGGUAGUCUGACACCAUGUUACUUAUAAACUUCACAAGAUCGGAUUACUCCUCUUAAUACGAUUGACACACAAGUCUUAAUACGUCCAACCUGAAAGAUAAAACAGUUGGGAGAAGAAAAUAAUCGUUUACACCUCGCUAGCAUCUUCGAAAAGGGAAUUACCUGGAAUUGAGGACUUGCAUAAUUAUUGAAAAGAAAGCUGUUAAACACCCAUCCCUAUUAUAUAUCUUUAACCUAAUUUUCCUUGAAUCUCAGAAAGAAAAUAACCAAAAAGAGCAAUUCAUUCGAAUUCCUUUUAACAGUUAACCAACGAUCUGACCAAGUCCAUCUUUAAUUUACAUGGAAUAUGAUAAGUAAUUCAUACAGGAACAAGAUGAAUCUAAAAAAUCUUCAAAUCUUGGUAAAGAAGAGAUGGAUAUACCUAGUAAAAAGCAAGAAAACUCGAUCUGAAGCUAAUGUUUUGAUAGAUCUUUGUAUCUUAGAUUGCUGUGCUUAUAGAUUUUGAUGAAUAUGUGAGAUAUUUGAGCAAAAAGUAUGAACAACGUGGGGAGCAACAAAAAG